UCGCGCAUGCAAGUACCAGGGCAGGUCCAGGUUUCUAAAUGUCAAUUUUUAUUUUUUAAUGUUUGUUACGCGUGUAGGGACGAGGGGUGUACAUGUUUCUUAAUGUUUGCAUUUAAGAUUGGAGCUGGCGCUCUUAAGCAGACAUCAUGUUUAUGGAAUUCGCAAAACAAUGCAGCAAUUUCAUGUCUAAUCUUGUUUUGCAGGAUCUAGUUGAGUAAUGGUGGUGAUGUUUUACAAGGCCUAAAUAUCGCUCAAUGGAAGGCAGUAAGAUGUUCUAGCAGAGGGAAAGGCAUAAAUUUUAAAUAGGGUUUCAUAAUAAAGUCGUAAAAGAAGGUGAAAGCAGCCAUUGGCUCCUCGCUGCUCAAAUCUCUGAUAAGAGACGUUUGUUGUUUUUGGCCCCCAAUUUUUUAUCUUUAAUUCACCCCCGGACUUCGUAUCAAAUUUAUUUCAAAUAUUUUUAUUCAAAUUACUGAACAUUGGAGGCAUUUUUGUUUACUGAUUCAUAUGCAUUUAAGGGUCACUUCUAUCAUUCACAUUUUUUUGGAAAUAUAAAAUCCUUCACUGGUAAGGGAAGAAGGAGAAGCAAUGCUAUAAUGAUUUUUUUAAAGUAAACAUUGAAUGAGAAAGAAUAUUUACUGAGCUGUGCAAAUGGUAAGCUCAUUGAAACUUCACAUUAAGUUAAAAAUAUUUUCAUUAAAUUUUAAAAGAAGUAUAGAAUAUUUUAUUUAUAAAGUUUGAUAUUUGGUUUUUUGGGGGGGGAUUACGUGGUUGUGGUGGUAUUUUUUAUUUAAAUGUCAUGACCAAUGAAAACACCAUAUAUUACUGGAUUUUCUCUAAUAUGCAGUAUAAGAAAGAAGGCAUCUGGGCAUUUGACAGUGCUGCUCUGUUCCUGCAAUAAAUAGAUCCUAUCACAGAUUUUUGGAUCGACAAUCUAAAAAAAUAAGCGCUCCAUGCUGCAACUGUUGAAGAGCCUAAAAAAAUAAGAGCUCCAUGCUGCAAAUGUUGAAGAGCUAAAAAUUUUCAACUAAUGUUUAGUUUUUGUAAACAUGAUUUUUGUUCAACUGAAAUUUGGUUCUAAAUAUCAAAAAUAUUUGGCAUUAGAAAAUUUGAUAUCUAUUUUAUGACUAUUGCUGAAAACCAUAUCCAUAGCAAUUUUGAUCUCUAUUUUAUGACUCUUGAUGAAAAACCAUAUCCAUAGCAAUUUUGAUCU